UAAUUUGAAGAAGGUAUCUUUGGGUCUGGCUCUUGUCUAUGUUUCUUGGAACAGAACGUCACAGAGGGUGAGAAUCCCGUGCGAUGAGAUGAUCCAGGCCUAUGUAAAGUUCCUUCGAAGAGUCGAGUUGUUUGGGAAUGCAGCUCUAAGUGGGUGGUAAAUUCCAUCUAAAGCUAAAUAUUGGCGAGAGACCGAUAGCGAACAAGUACAGUGAUGGAAAGAUGAAAAGAACUUUGAAAAGAGAGUGAAAAAGUACGUGAAAUUGUUGAAAGGGAAGGGCUUGAGAUCAGACUUGGUAUUUUGUAUGUUACUUCUUCGGGGGUGGCCUCUACAGUUUAUCGGGCCAGCAUCAGUUUGGGCGGUAGGAGAAUUGCGUUGGAAUGUGGCACGGCUUCGGUUGUGUGUUAUAGCCUUCGUCGAUACUGCCAGCCUAGACUGAGGACUGCGGUUUAUACCUAGGAUGUUGGCAUAAUGAUCUUAAGUCGCCCGUCUUGAAACACGGACCAAGGAGUCUAACGUCUAUGCGAGUGUUUGGGUGUAAAACCCGUACGC
rnacentral:rRNA from 1 species